CAGUCAUUGUCUUUGUAAGUCUUGCAGGAUUUUGGUGAAUUAAUGAUUCUCUCCAUAAAUGCAUAUUUCCAAUUGAUAGAAAAUAUAGUUUUUAAUAGUUUGCAAAAACUGAUCUGAAGCUGAAGAGAAGUAAAACUCAGAAACAUGGAGCUGUCUGGAUAAACAUGUAUAAGAAAAGUUAUGCAGUUUUCACAUAUUUAUCAAUAUCUGUUGGUGUUUGUCUGAAAAGAAAAGAAAAACAAGAAACCAAAUUAUUAUGAGUAACUUUUGUCUCUUUUAGGUCUUUGUUGUUUAUUGUAGCCUUUCUGCCUGCCCAGGUUGAUGAAACAUUUUUACCAGACAAAAACUGUUAAGGAGAAUUAAAUAUUGUCACUCAUUUAUAUUGUUAAGCUAAAUAUUCACUGUUGUUUACUUUCUGUUGUGUACAGUUUUUCCAUGCUGGAACAACAAGUCUCAAAAUGGACAAGUGAGAAAUGAUGAAGAUCACAGAGGAAAUGGUAACCAAGGAGAUGGAGAAGAA